rnacentral:rRNA from 1 species
CCCUACUAUGCCUAGUCGUAACACAAUAAUCAAAUAACUAAUUAUUCGCCAAAUAACUACGAGCAAAAGCUUAAAAUUUAAAAGACUUGACGGUACUUCACAACAACCUAGAGGAGCCUGUCCAAUAACCGAUACUCCACGAUUAACCCUACCCACCCUAGCCCAACAGUCUAUAUACCGCCGUCGCCAGCUUACCUUGUGAAAGAACUAAAGUAAGCAAAAUAAGCCACCAUUAACACGACAGGUCGAGGUGUAACUAAUGAGUGGGUAAAGAUGGGCUACAUUUUCUAACACAGAAAAUACGAACAAACUAUGAAACUAGAAACUGAAGGCGGAUUUAGCAGUAUGAUAAGAACAUAAUACUUAACUGAAACCAACGCAAUGAAGUGCGCACACACCGCCCGUCAUCCCUGCCAACAACCACAGACAAUCCAUAAAACACACCAUCCAUAAAAACAGGGCAAGUC